CCAUCGCCAUUGCAGAACGCCAUCGCAGCAGAGCGCCGUCGCCGUCGCCGCACAGCGCCGUCUCUGUCUGCGACUGCUCCUCCGUCUAUGACUGAAUGAUGUUUGGAAUUCCGAGGAGGGCAAGAAGAAAACAAAAUUGGCUAAGAAAAAUAGGUGUGGAGGAGUUUUAACUGGAGUUGCUCAAUCUACCCAUACCACAGGGUCAACACCUCACGUAAAAGUUGCACCUCAACUUGAAGGACAAUUGGGUCAUUGUCCAUCGUAUUAUGAACUGUUCAAGCAUACACAUACCAAACAACACAAUGGGCAAACAUUCAUAGCUGAAAAAGCCAGACAAAUUCAUGAACAAAUUGCAUCGUAACGGGAGAUGUUGGCAGAAAAUGGGGAGCAGGUGGAUGAUAGUCAAUUAUACUAUGACGCGGUUGGUGGACACGUCAAGAAAAGAAGAGUUUGAAGGCUACUAUUCUCCUUAUGCAACGACUUGAUGCUAUUGAUGGCGGGAGAGCGGGUACUUCAUCAUCACAUCCAUUUCAAAUCAAUUGAUUUUAAUGGUUGUUUAAUUUGUUAAGACUAUUACAAUGUUGUUUAUACUUAAAUUGACUAUUAUUAUGUAUUAAAUGUGGAUUGAUAAUGUAU